AUGCUGAAAAUCAACAGGAGUUGUGUUGACACGAGAACAUGCUCAACUCAAAGGCAAGACACCCGCAAACGAGGACGAAAGACCAGAAACUUGCAUCUGAACGAGGCAUACAGUAGAUUGAAUGAUUUGAUUGAAGAUGGACUUAGUGAAGAAUCUGCUUCAAAGCUGACUUCAAGCAUUGUCUCGCUUGUCUCAUUUGAUGGUGAAAAGAUCUAUUCUCAAAGCACAGGAAUAGUUGUUGAAAAUGAUCAAUUCAGUGCAUCUUUCCUGACAUCUAAAGAUUUGAUUAGAAAAAAAUCAGCUUUUGUUCCUGGAUUACAGAUAAAAGUGUACCUACCAAAUAGGGAAGUAGUGAAUGGACUUGUGCAAUACUACAGUGCGAAGUGGCGUAUGGUUGUUGUAACCACUAAGCCCUCCCCUCAUCUUGUCACAGCAUGUCUUGGUAACAUAAUGCAAGCUGAGUCUUCUAGUGGCUUAUUUGCUAUAACUUGUUGCUAUAAGACGGGCAACUUAUUGGUCACAACUGGGACGCUGGCUAGCAGUCCAAGUGGACUUGAAGGAAUCAUGCAGUCCACGUGCCAAAUCUCUGUGGAUGGAAGCGGCGGACCUCUUGUUUCACCUGAUGGGAAUAUUGUUGGGAUGAACCUCUGUACGGAAGAGAGUACAACCCCAUUCAUACCAACAGAUCAAAUUUAUGAUUGUUUGCGCAAGCUUGCGAUACGGACCUAUUUGGAGAAUUUCACACCAUUGAGCUCCAGUUCAGAAGUAUCUCCAGUCUAG
rnacentral:rRNA from 1 species